AGAUGCUAAUACCGCAUAACAGCGUUGUUCGCAUGAACAACGCUUAAAAGAUGGCUUCUCGCUAUCACUUCUGGAUGGACCUGCGGUGCAUUAGCUUGUUGGUGGGGUAACGGCCUACCAAGGCGAUGAUGCAUAGCCGAGUUGAGAGACUGAUCGGCCACAAUGGGACUGAGACACGGCCCAUACUCCUACGGGAGGCAGCAGUAGGGAAUCUUCCACAAUGGGCGCAAGCCUGAUGGAGCAACACCGCGUGAGUGAAGAAGGGUUUCGGCUCGUAAAGCUCUGUUGUUAAAGAAGAACACGUAUGAGAGUAACUGUUCAUACGUUGACGGUAUUUAACCAGAAAGUCACGGCUAACUACGUGCCAGCAGCCGCGGUAAUACGUAGGUGGCAAGCGUUAUCCGGAUUUAUUGGGCGUAAAGAGAGUGCAGGCGGUUUUCUAAGUCUGAUGUGAAAGCCUUCGGCUUAACCGGAGAAGUGCAUCGGAAACUGGAUAACUUGAGUGCAGAAGAGGGUAGUGGAACUCCAUGUGUAGCGGUGGAAUGCGUAGAUAUAUGGAAGAACACCAGUGGCGAAGGCGGCUACCUGGUCUGCAACUGACGCUGAGACUCGAAAGCAUGGGUAGCGAACAGGAUUAGAUACCCUGGUAGUCCAUGCCGUAAACGAUGAGUGCUAGGUGUUGGAGGGUUUCCGCCCUUCAGUGCCGGAGCUAACGCAUUAAGCACUCCGCCUGGGGAGUACGACCGCAAGGUUGAAACUCAAAGGAAUUGACGGGGGCCCGCACAAGCGGUGGAGCAUGUGGUUUAAUUCGAAGCUACGCGAAGAACCUUACCAGGUCUUGACAUCUUGCGCCAACCCUAGAGAUAGGGCGUUUCCUUCGGGAACGCAAUGACAGGUGGUGCAUGGUCGUCGUCAGCUCGUGUCGUGAGAUGUUGGGUUAAGUCCCGCAACGAGCGCAACCCUUGUUACUAGUUGCCAGCAUUAAGUUGGGCACUCUAGUGAGACUGCCGGUGACAAACCGGAGGAAGGUGGGGACGACGUCAGAUCAUCAUGCCCCUUAUGACCUGGGCUACACACGUGCUACAAUGGACGGUACAACGAGUCGCGAACUCGCGAGGGCAAGCAAAUCUCUUAAAACCGUUCUCAGUUCGGACUGCAGGCUGCAACUCGCCUGCACGAAGUCGGAA
rnacentral:rRNA from 1 species